rnacentral:rRNA from 1 species
AGUGAACGCUGGCGGUAGGCCUAACACAUGCAAGUCGAACGGCAGCACGGUAAGAGCUUGCUCUUACGGGUGGCGAGUGGCGGACGGGUGAGGAAUACAUCGGAAUCUACUUUUUCGUGGGGGAUAACGUAGGGAAACUUACGCUAAUACCGCAUACGACCUACGGGUGAAAGCAGGGGAUCUUCGGACCUUGCGCGAUUGAAUGAGCCGAUGUCGGAUUAGCUAGUUGGCGGGGUAAAGGCCCACCAAGGCGACGAUCCGUAGCUGGUCUGAGAGGAUGAUCAGCCACACUGGAACUGAGACACGGUCCAGACUCCUACGGGAGGCAGCAGUGGGGAAUAUUGGAUAAUGGGCGCAAGCCUGAUCCAGCCAUACCGCGUGGGUGAAGAAGGCCUUCGGGUUGUAAAGCCCUUUUGUUGGGAAAGAAAAGCAGCAGGUUAAUACCCCGCUGUUCUGACGGUACCCAAAGAAUAAGCACCGGCUAACUUCGUG